UCCAUUGUUAUUUUCUGUUGUUACCUCUAUUCAUCCAUUCUCAUCAUAUAUAUGGAUGUAUAUAUUGUAUUGUUAUGCUGUACUGUAUGUAGCAUAUUGUAUUGUUUUACACUGUUAGUGUGUGGAUAAUUUUAAAUGCACUUUAUUUAAAGCUUGGUGUGAUGUAUUUCUCUGCCGCCCUUCAGGCCAGUGCCCCACCCUGAACCUGAUGAUAAGGACCCGGGGCAACGUGACAUCGGUGAACAAGCAGGCGGUGAGCUCCCGGGUCAGCACCAUGAGGGAGUACUCCCACCCCUCCUCAGCCCACAGGUCUCAUACUCUCCAACCUGAACUUCAUUAUAAUAGGCAUUUGAAUUGGGAGAGUUUGGCAUUUUUUAAAUGGUUACAACCCAAGCCAGGUGAGGGCGGUGAGAAAACAGUAUGUCCAUCAUCAGAAACCAGCAACGCACCCCCAAAAUCUGCCUGAUACACGGACCCCCAGGAACAGGAAAGAGCAAAACCAUUGUGGGCCUGCUGCAAAAAACAUUUGCUGAGUACCAUGAGCUGGCAGAGAAAGUACAGACUGCUCCGAGAGAGACAGACUCGGCUACGAGCUAAAACAGUCUUGCAUUAGGAAGCAGGAGACCCAGCCCUGUGUCUUACAGGAUACGCAUGUGGUCUGCUGCACCCAGAGCACGAGCUGCAGCUCCGCCCUGGAGUCGGCCCUCCAGUGCCUGGGACAUGAGCCCUUCAGUUGCAUCAUCGUGGACGUGGUCAGAAUUUGUAGCUCCUUUAGUUUGGCUGCAUUUCAAUAGUGUAAAGCAGCAAUAGUGUUCUAUAUAUCAUUGUGGUCAUGGAGAUUCACGGUGUGCAAGCUUUUGUUCCUGUCCAGUGCUGUAACACAACUGAUUCAACAAAUUGAUGGCUUGAUGGUUAGUUGAAUAAGGUGUAUGGUACUUGACUGGAAUAAAAGCUUGCAAGCCCUGUGGAAUUACAUUUUUUUAUUUAUCCUUUAUUUAAGUCAGUUAACAAAAAAAUCUUAUUUGCAAUGACAGCCUAACCUGGCCAAACCUGGACGACACUGGGCCAAUUGUGCGCUGCCCUAUGGGACUCCCAAUCACGGCUGGAUGUGAUACACCCUGGAUUCAAACCAAGGAUUGUAGUGACGCCUUUUGCAUUGAGAUGCAGUGCCUUAGACCGCUGCGCCACUCAGGAACACCAGUCUUACCCAGUUUGACUGAAUCUCCUCUACUCGAUCUGUAUGAAUGUGAGGACCAACCCCUUGUCUUUGUGUUUGUUGUGUCUCCAUGGCACUGUGUGCAGGCAGGGCAGACCACUGAGACGGAGACACUCAUUCCCAUGCUCUACCUCAUCCUUGUGGGAGACCCUGAUCAGCUGCACCCUACUGUCAUCUCUGAGGUACUGCAGCUUUCACUUCAGUAUGUGGAACAGGGUCUUACUUUAUUAAAGGAGUAGUUCACCCAAAUUGCAAAAUAAUUGCAGUCUGUGGAAACAAUGGUCAUUUUGUUACUUGUUUGAACUAUAAAACGAGAAACUUCCUUAGAAUAUCAACCCAAAACAUUAACAUUCUACAUUCCAAUAUAUCUACAGCGGAUACUUACUUAAUACGGCUAGGGGUUCCGCUAGCGGAAUGUUUCGACAACAUCCGGUGAAAUGGCAGAGCGCCAAAUAAAAAAACAAAUUAUUCGAAAUAUUUAACUUUCA